rnacentral:pre_miRNA from 1 species
AUUCGCUUGGUGCAGGUCGGGAACGCCCUCCGAUCGCCGCCGACGCCGCCCCCUGAUCGUGCCCGCUUUCCCGCCUUGCACCAACUGAAU